rnacentral:rRNA from 1 species
GCUCAGGAUGAACGCUAGCUACAGGCUUAACACAUGCAAGUCAAGGGGUAGCAGGGUAGCAAUACCGCUGACGACCGGCGCACGGGUGAGUAACACGUAUCCAACCUUCCCAUAACUCGGGGAUAGCCUUUCGAAAGAAAGAUUAAUACCCGAUAGUACUUAAGAAAGGCAUCUUUUUUAAGUUAAAGAUUUAUUGGUUAUGGAUGGGGAUGCGUUCCAUUAGAUAGUUGGUGAGGUAACGGCUCACCAAGUCUUCGAUGGAUAGGGG